UCCUCAGUAGCUCAGCGGUAGAGCGUCCGGCUGUUAACCGGCAGGUCACUGGUUCGAAUCCAGUCUGGGGAG
rnacentral:tRNA from 1 species